AGAGUUUGAUCAUGGCUCAGAGCGAACGCUGGCGGCGUGCCUAACACAUGCAAGUCGCACGAGAAAGGGGUCGCAAGACCCCCGGUACAGUGGCGAACGGGUGAGUAACACGUGGGUAACCUGCCCCUGGAUUCGGAAUAACCUGCCGAAAGGCGGGCUAAUACCGGAUGACAUCGCGUGGUCUUCGGACCAUGCGAUCAAAGCUGACCUCUUCAUGAAAGUUGGCGUCUGGGGAGGGGCCCGCGGCCCAUUAGCUAGUUGGUGAGGUAACGGCUCACCAAGGCUCCGAUGGGUAGCCGGCCUGAGAGGGCGACCGGCCACAGUGGAACUGAGACACGGUCCACACUCCUACGGGAGGCAGCAGUGAGGAAUCUUGCGCAAUGGGGGAAACCCUGACGCAGCGACGCCGCGUGGACGAUGAAGGCCUUCGGGUCGUAAAGUCCUGUCGGGUGGGAAGAAAAGGUUUGUGGCUAAUAUCCACAGAUCUCGACUGUACCACCAGAGGAAGCCCCGGCUAACUCCGUGCCAGCAGCCGCGGUA
rnacentral:rRNA from 1 species